rnacentral:rRNA from 1 species
UAAUAUAACAAUCUUAGCGUGAUCUG